GACCAAAUACCACAUACGAACAAAUCAUCAUUCAAGAGGUUUUUUUUCCACAUCAAGUUUUCAAAACCAUUUCCAUGGAGAUGACAAAUUGGUACUUUUAGCACCACAAUGUGUUAAUAAUGCGCGAAAAGUGUAAAUUUGGACAUCUCCUCUGCGAGCAAAGGCAAUUUUGCCAUACUGAGAUUCCGCUGUCGUCUCGUACGCCAUUGCAAUCGGUAACUAUGGACGAUUGUAAUCAUGAUUUAGCUGAAAACGCGGCUGCCAUGGCUAAAGACCACUUUAAUUUACUUCAUUCAAGCACUCUGGACGUGAAUGAUGGUUCUGAUCAUAAAGGAAAAGAAAUCGAAGACGAAGCAUCUAUAAUAGCUGAGGAUUGCGAAGACGAAGAAACUCAACAACAGCACAGACAAAUAUGGAUCGCAAACGCAUGGUAAACAAUUCGAACAAAAAAAAGCCUGUUAGGAAACGCCAGGUUACAGCUAAAAUAGCUGCAACAAAAUACGAAAUUGUUUCCUCCUCAGUUCAAGUGAUUCAGGUGGUCCAGUGGAAAGGAUCAAAUAAAUAAAAUCCUUUCAGAACAGCCUUGGACCACCAUGCCCUGCAGGCUGAGGGGUCAGCAGUGCACACCAGCCAGCUACACACAAGCAAGGUGGACACAAAGUGCUACUUGCAAAGAACAAUCACAGGGUUACCAAUGGACAGAGUGUGUGUGGUGUCCAACAAGAUUACCGUGAUACCAGCAGCAAAAUGUGAAGUUGUUAACUGCUGUUUUGAUCAUAAACUAAACCAGUGCUACAAGCCAAAGAAAUUAUAAUUUAUGUCUGUUUAACAAAUAGAUUCCAUACCAUGUUACUGUGCAUCUGUUCAAUAUUAGUAUAAAUCUACUAGCGUUCUAUUAGGAAUGCCGUUCUCCGAUUGGCUAUGCUAUUCGCUACUAUUCUCUUGCAGAUAUAGUGAGUAGCCUAGCAGUGUGCACUUGUUAACAAAAUAAUGGCUGCUUCUUUGUACUUUGGAAGUGUCUGAAAAGGAUUUAGAUGAAUGACUAGUAGAUUAUUACUAAGAGAAUCACGCAAUAGAAAUCCAGAGCUCAUAAUCUAAUUGUUAAAUAGAGCACAGUUGAGAUAAAAAUGUGGUAAGAACAAAAAGAAGCACACAAGCCAUUAAAUAAGUGCGUCACUGAUGUUCCCACCAUAUUUUGAGGUCUUCAGCAUGGAAUCUAGUUUUUGUUUCUAGUAUUAUUCAUUUUCAAUUCCCUAGAAAACUGAUUGGAAUCUUAUAAAACAAAUCAAAUUCAUGUAUUGUUGUUUCAUGCAACAUAUUUUAUCUUGACUUGAUGCUGGGGUUCUUGUAACCUCCUGCAGAGACAUUCUUUGGCUUGUCACACACUUCUCCUGUAAGGUAGUGUCACGCACUCCUGCCAUAAGGAAGGAGUAAGUGACAAGCCAAAUUUCAAUGUUAUUGCCUGUUACAAAACCCCCCUUAAUUCUAGUUUAAUUGUCAAAUUGUAAUCAGCUCAAGAUUCAACUUUUCACAAAGUAUAAAAAUUAAUAUUAUUAUUAUUGGAAGAAUUCCAAGCCACCUUAGAUUUUCAAAAAAUUAAAGUGGCUCUGAGCCCCCUCCCACAAACCUUACAAAACUUUGCAAAACUUUGUAUUUUGAUGUGCUGACUCAAUUCCAUAAUAAAAGGUGGCCACUGGA